ACCACUUGUUGCCUCGGCGGAUCAGCCCGCUCCCGGUAAAACGGGACGGCCCGCCAGAGGACCCCUAAACUCUGUUUCUAUAUGUAACUUCUGAGUAAAACCAUAAAUAAAUCAAAACUUUCAACAACGGAUCUCUUGGUUCUGGCAUCGAUGAAGAACGCAGCAAAAUGCGAUAAGUAAUGUGAAUUGCAGAAUUCAGUGAAUCAUCGAAUCUUUGAACGCACAUUGCGCCCGCCAGUAUUCUGGCGGGCAUGCCUGUUCGAGCGUCAUUUCAACCCUCAAGCCCUCGGGUUUGGUGUUGGGGAUCGGCGAGCCCUUGCGGCAAGCCGGCCCCGAAAUCUAGUGGCGGUCUCGCUGCAGCCUCCAUUGCGUAGUAGUAAAACCCUCGCAACUGGAACGCGGCGCGGCCAAGCCGUUAAACCCCCAACUUCUGAAUGUUGACCUCGGAUCAGGUAGGAAUACCCGCUGAACUUAAGCAAU
rnacentral:rRNA from 1 species